AACAUGCAAGUCGAACGCUUUUUCUUUCACCGGAGCUUGCUCCACCGAAAGAAAAAGAGUGGCGAACGGGUGAGUAACACGUGGGUAACCUGCCCAUCAGAAGGGGAUAACACUUGGAAACAGGUGCUAAUACCGUAUAACACUAUUUUCCGCAUGGAAGAAAGUUGAAAGGCGCUUUUGCGUCACUGAUGGAUGGACCCGCGGUGCAUUAGCUAGUUGGUGAGGUAACGGCUCACCAAGGCAACGAUGCAUAGCCGACCUGAGAGGGUGAUCGGCCACACUGGGACUGAGACACGGCCCAGACUCCUACGGGAGGCAGCAGUAGGGAAUCUUCGGCAAUGGACGAAAGUCUGACCGAGCAACGCCGCGUGAGUGAAGAAGGUUUUCGGAUCGUAAAACUCUGUUGUUAGAGAAGAACAAGGAUGAGAGUAAAAUGUUCAUCCCUUGACGGUAUCUAACCAGAAAGCCACGGCUAACUACGUGCCAGCAGCCGCGGUAAUACGUAGGUGGCAAGCGUUGUCCGGAUUUAUUGGGCGUAAAGCGAGCGCAGGCGGUUUCUUAAGUCUGAUGUGAAAGCCCCCGGCUCAACCGGGGAGGGUCAUUGGAAACUGGGAGACUUGAGUGCANAAGAGGAGAGUGGAAUUCCAUGUGUAGCGGUGAAAUGCGUAGAUAUAUGGAGGAACACCAGUGGCGAAAGCGGCUCUCUGGUCUGUAACUGACGCUGAGGCCCGAAAGCGUGGGGAGCAAAAAGAAUAAAUACCCCUGGGUAUCCACGCC
rnacentral:rRNA from 1 species